rnacentral:rRNA from 1 species
UACGUAGGGACCAAGCGUUGUCCGGAAUCAUUGGGCGUAAAGAGCUCGUAGGCGGUCUGUCGCGUCUGCUGUGAAAACCUGGGGCUUAACCCCGGGCCUGCAGUGGGUACGGGCAGACUAGAGUGUGGUAGGGGAGACUGGAAUUCCUGGUGUAGCGGUGAAAUGCGCAGAUAUCAGGAGGAACACCGGUGGCGAAGGCGGGUCUCUGGGCCAUAACUGACGCUGAGGAGCGAAAGCGUGGGGAGCGAACAGG